GUUUUCAGUUAGAUCAUACCGACUGCAUUACCAGCCGUUUCAAUCUGAUGACAUCCAAAUCCUAGGUAUCAUGCGUGUAUGUUAGAUUGGUUGUCGGUUGCCUCUCAACGUUUGAGCCCAGCCCCAAUUCGGGGGACCUCACACAGCCAAGUGACAAACCCGACAGAUGCAACAGUGUGGAAAAAGUGGUAGCCCAGUUUUUUUUGGAAAGGUGCGGAGCCACACCCCUAAAGGUUGGAGAGAAUCCAAACCUCGAAGCAAUUUUCGAGAUGAUCCUUCUGCAGGUUCACCUACAGAAA
rnacentral:misc_RNA from 1 species